AUUGAACGCUGGCGGCAGGCCUAACACAUGCAAGUCGAGCGGAUGAUGGUAGCUUGCUACCUGAUUCAGCGGCGGACGGGUGAGUAAUGCCUAGGAAUCUGCCUGGUAGUGGGGGACAACGUUUCGAAAGGAACGCUAAUACCGCAUACGUCCUACGAGAGAAAGUGGGGGAUCUUCGGACCUCACGCUAUCAGAUGAGCCUAGGUACGAUUAGCUAGUUGGUGAGGUAAAGGCUCACCAAGGCGACGAUCGUUAACUGGUCUGAGAGGAUGAUCAGUCACACUGGAACUGAGACACGGUCCAGACUCCUACGGGAGGCAGCAGUGGGGAAUAUUGGACAAUGGGCGAAAGCCUGAUCCAGCCAUGCCGCGUGUGUGAAGAAGGUCUUCGGAUUGUAAAGCACUUUAAGUUGGGAGGAAGGGCAGUAAGUUAAUACCUUGCUGUUUUGACGUUACCGACAGAAUAAGCACCGGCUAACUUCGUGCCAGCCGCCGCAGUAAUAC
rnacentral:rRNA from 1 species